GCUGGACAUUAUUGCUGUUUACAGUUUAUCUCUAUCUAUAUUAGUAUUCAAGAUAAUAACCAAAAACGGCAAAAUUUCUUUAAAAAUUACCAAUUGGGGGGCAGCAACCCAACAACCGGUUGUCCAAUUCAUCUAAAAAUUUCAGGGCAGAUAGAUAUUGACUUGAUUAACAAUUUAACUCCUUGUCAGAUUUGCUCUAAAUGCUUUGGUUUCAGAGUAAUAAGCCAAAAUCUACAUUUUACCCCU
rnacentral:lncRNA from 1 species